UACGAGGGGGGCGAGCGUUGUUCGGAAUUAUUGGGCGUAAAGGGUGCGUAGGCGGUUCCGCAAGUCCUGUGUGAAAUCUUCGGGCUCAACUCGAAGUCUGCACGGGAAACUGCGGGGCUUGAGUGUGGGAGAGGUGAGUGGAAUUCCCGGUGUAGCGGUGAAAUGCGUAGAUAUCGGGAGGACACCUGUGGCGAAAGCGGCUCACUGGACCAUAACUGACGCUGAUGCACGAAAGCUGGGGAGCAAACAGG
rnacentral:rRNA from 1 species